GUCGUUUUUUAUUGGUCGACAUGAAAAAAAACAUAAGGGGUAACAUUGUUGUUUUAUAUUGGUCGUCAGGAAAAAAAACAUAAGGGGUAACACUGUUGUCUUUGUCAAAAAAAACCACAAGGGGAAACACUGUCGUUUUUUGUCAUGAAAAAAAACAUUAGGGGUAACACUGUUGUUUUUUAUUGGUCGUCAUAAAAAAAAACAUAAGGGGUAACACUGUUGUCUUUGUCAAAAAAACCACAAGGGGUAACACUGUCGUUUUUUAUUGGUCGUCAUGAAAAAAAACAUUAGGGGUAACACUGUUGUUUUUUAUUGGUCGUCAUAAAAAAAAACAUAAGGGGGGUAACAUUGUUGUUUUUUAUUGGUCGUCAGGAAAAAAAACAUAAGGGGUAACACUGUUGUCUUUGUCAAAAAAACCACAAGGGGUAACACUGUCGUUUUUUAUUGGUCGUCAUGAAAAAAAACAUAAGGGGUUACACUGUUGUCUUUGUCAAAAAAACCACAAGGGGUAACACUGUUGUUUUUUAUUGGUCGUCAUGAAAAAAAACAUAAGGGGUAACAUUGUUGUUUUUUAUUGGUCGUCAAGAAAAAAAACAAAAGGGGUAACACUGUUGUUUUUUAUUGGUCGUCAUGAAAAAAAUCAUAAGGGGUAACACUGUUGUUUUUUAUUGGUCGUCAUGAAAAAAAACAUAAGGGGUAACAUUGUCGUUUUUUAUUGGUCGUCAUAAAAAAAAACAUAAGGGGUAACACUGUUGUCUUUGUCAAAAAAACCACAAGGGGUAACACUGUCGUUUUUUAUUGGUAGACAUGAAAAAAAACAUAAGGGGUAACACUGUCGUUUUUUAUUGGUCGUCAUGAAAAAAAACAUUAGGGUUAACACUGUUGUUUUUUA
ensembl:lncRNA